rnacentral:sRNA from 1 species
AACCUUCAGGCCGCGUAAAGGGACUGCGCUUCUGGUCUUUGACCAUGGAUGUACUGGCACUGAUCAUUGAGGCGCAUAGGAGAGGCCGGGUUCGCCCGGCCUUUUUGCUU